AUUCCAGUGGGGUUGGAGAUGCCAGUAAUCCCAGCACUUAGAAGUGAAAGAUCCCACGCAGAGAGACCCUUACUCAAGUCUUGGGAAAUCGCGGACCCCAGACACAGAGAGACCA
rnacentral:pre_miRNA from 14 species